CCCAUUUCUGAUUUCUUAUAAAGAGACCAAUAUGAUUUUAUUAUCAAACCACACUAAAAUACACAUACACCCAAAAGUCUAAUCUAAGUUCAAGAGUUCAAGUUCGGAGUUCAGUGCUUUCAAAAUCCAUCUCUUUGCUUGAAUCAAGUUCGCAAAAGUUUUGAGUACGACCCGAUUUGUGGAUUUUCUUUUGCUUGCUAAACUAAGGUAAUCAGGGAUAAUAUAAUAUGGGGAAUCAGUAAUGAGAGAUUAAUGGAUGUUCAAGAGUAUUUAAAGACUCUUUAUUUUGUUAAAUCAUGUACUUUUGAAUGAACUUAAGACUUAGGGUAUUUUGAGACGUGUAUGUCACCUUGAAUCCUAUCUUAUAUUAAGUGGAUUUAUUUUGGUUAUGAUAUUCGUAAUAGUGACGCUCGGACCUGCCCCGGGUUGGGGUAUUACACUCUGCUAAACUUGAUCUUUUUUAUAGUCUUUCUAAUGUAUUGUUUAUUAUUUACUGCUUAUGCAUUUGAUACAUAUGUAAUAAGGAUGAAAGUAAAGUAGUGAAUUUAGUAACUACACAUUUGUCA